AACGAACGCUGGCGGCAGGCCUAACACAUGCAAGUCGAGCGAGGACUUCGGUCCUAGCGGCGGACGGGUGAGUAACGCGUGGGAACGUGCCCUUUGCUUCGGAAUAGCCCUGGGAAACUGGGAGUAAUACCGGAUGAGCCCUUUGGGGGAAAGAUUUAUCGGCGAAGGAUCGGCCCGCGUUGGAUUAGGUAGUUGGUGGGGUAAUGGCCUACCAAGCCGACGAUCCAUAGCUGGUUUGAGAGGAUGAUCAGCCACACUGGGACUGAGACACGGCCCAGACUCCUACGGGAGGGAGCAGUGGGGAAUCUUAGACAAUGGGGGAAACCCUGAUCUAGCCAUGCCGCGUGAGCGAUGAAGGCCUUAGGGUUGUAAAGCUCUUUCAGCUGGGAAGAUAAUGACGGUACCAGCAGAAGAAGCCCCGGCUAACUCCGUG
rnacentral:rRNA from 1 species